rnacentral:rRNA from 1 species
GAUGAACGCUGGCGGCGUGCCUAAUACAUGCAAGUCGAGCGAACGGACGAGAAGCUUGCUUCUCUGAUGUUAGCGGCGGACGGGUGAGUAACACGUGGAUAACCUACCUAUAAGACUGGGAUAACUUCGGGAAACCGGAGCUAAUACCGGAUAAUAUUUUGAACCGCAUGGUUCAAAAGUGAAAGACGGUCUUGCUGUCACUUAUAGAUGGAUCCGCGCUGCAUUAGCUAGUUGGUAAGGUAACGGCUUACCAAGGCAACGAUGCAUAGCCGACCUGAGAGGGUGAUCGGCCACACUGGAACUGAGACACGGUCCAGACUCCUACGGGAGGCAGCAGUAGGGAAUCUUCAGCAAUGGGCGAAAGCCUGACGGAGCAACGCCGCGUGAGUGAUGAAGGGCUUCGGAUCGUAAAACUCUGUUAUUAGGGAAGAACAUAUGUGUAAGUAACUGUGCACAUCUUGACGGUACCUAAUCAGAAAGCCACGGCUAACUACGUG